GGCUGGAUAGCUUAGUGGUUAUAGUGCUUGGCACUAUGAAGCCUGGGAGGUCCUGAGUUCAAUCCUUGUUGCUGCCA